rnacentral:rRNA from 1 species
CAGACGAUGCGUCAUGCAUAUCAAUAAGCGGAGGAAAAGAAACUAACAAGGAUUCCCCUAGUAACGGCGAGUGAAGCGGGAAGAGCUCAAAUUUGAAAUCUUAAAGGGUUUCCCUUUACGAAUUGUAGUUUAAAGAAGUGUUUUCUGUUGAGGUUUUGGUAAAAGUUCUUUGGAAUAGGACAUCAUAGAGGGUGAGAAUCCCGUAUUUGACCUUUACUUUCAACUUUGUGAUACACUUUCAAAGAGUCGGAUUGUUUGGGAAUGCAGUCCAAAAUGGGUGGUAAAUUUCAUCUAAAGCUAAAUAUUGGCGAGAGACCGAUAGCGAACAAGUACCGUGAGGGAAAGAUGAAAAGAACUUUGGAAAGAGAGUUAAACAGUACGUGAAAUUGUCAAAAGGGAAGCGUUUGACACCAGUGUUGUUUUUCUGAAAAUCAAUUAAAGAACUGUUUAUGCUAAGUUGUUUAGACUUUAUCAGCUAACUGUUUAGUUUUGAGCUUUUCUUUAAUGCACUUUUCAGUUAACAAGUCAACAUCAAUUUCUUUUGCUGUAAAAAAGCUUGAGGAAGGUGGCUUGAGAUUCGUCUUAAGUGUUUAUAGCCUCUUGCCUAUGCAGUCGGAGAGAUUGAGGUCUGCAGCGUAGAUCCUUCGGGGCUAAAUGCAUUUGUGCUAAGUUAUAGCAUUUUAUAGACAACUUGUUGACUAUGAUUUGUCUUGUAGCUUACUCGCUUAUGUUAUUUUACCUACGCUUAGGAUGUUGAGCGCAUGUCUCUCUCU